UAGGAGUGAUGUGGAGACGGAGGAGUGACAACGCCGCGGACUGACGGAAUAGUCCGUUAAAGGGUGUAGAUGUUGAUUAUCCCAGGCAAAUCCGGGAUAAGAGUCGAACCUGAUAGUAUACCAAUUUCCCCGGAAAACGGUAAUAGUGCGUGUAAACAUACUCCCAAGAAAAUCCGCUAAACUUAAUCUUAUAGGUACCCGUACCGUAAACGGACACACGUAGUCGGGUUGAAUAUACUCAGGCGCUUGAGUGAAUCACGGUUAAGGAACUAGGCAAAUUGACCCUGUAACUUCGGGAUAAAGGGUCCCUACCCGGUGACGGGAGGGCGCAGAGAAUAGGUCCAGGCAACUGUUUAACAAAAACACAGGGCUGUGCAAAAUUGAAAGAUCACGUAUACAGCCUGACACCUGCCCGGUGCUGGAAGGUUAAGAGGAGAUGUCAUCGCAAGAGAAGCAUUGAAUUGAAGCCCCAGUAAACGGCGGCCGUAACUAUAACGGUCCUAAGGUAGCGAAAUUCCUUGUCGGGUAAGUUCCGACCUGCACGAAUGGUGUAAUGAUCUGGACACUGUCUCAACCGUGAGCUCAGUGAAAUUGUAGUAUCGGUGAAGAUGCCGAUUACCCGCGAUGGGACGAAAAGACCCCGUGAACCUUUACUAUAGCUUAACAUUGAAUUUGGGUAAUUGAUGUGUAGGAUAGGCCGGAGACUUUGAAGCAGGCACGCCAGUGUUUGUGGAGUCGCUGUUGAAAUACGGCCCUUUGGUUAUUUGAGUUCUAACUCGCUGAUG
rnacentral:rRNA from 1 species